UGGGGAAUAUUGCACAAUGGGCGCAAGCCUGAUGCAGCAACGCCGCGUGAAGGAAGACGGUUUUCGGAUUGUAAACUUCUGUUCUUAGUGAAGAAGAAUGACGGUAGCUAAGGAGCAAGCCACGGCUAACUACGUGCCAGCAGCCGCGGUAAUACGUAGGUGGCAAGCGUUGUCCGGAAUUACUGGGUGUGAAGGGAGCGCAGGCGGGGAAGCAAAGUCAGUUGUGAAAUCCCAUGGGCUUAACCCGUGAACUGCAGUUGAAACUGUUCUUCUUGAGUGAAGUAGAGGUUGGCGGAAUUCCGAGUGUAGCGGUGAAAUGCGUAGAUAUUCGGAGGAACACCGGUGGCGAAGGCGGCCAACUGGGCUUUUACUGACGCUGAGGCUCGAAAGUGUGGGGAGCAAACAGGAUUAGAUACC
rnacentral:rRNA from 1 species